UACGAAGGGGGCUAGCGUUGUUCGGAAUCACUGGGCGUAAAGCGCACGUAGGCGGAUCUUUAAGUCAGGGGUGAAAUCCCGGGGCUCAACCCCGGAACUGCCUUUGAUACUGGGUAUCUCGAGUCCGGAAGAGGUGAGUGGAAUUCCGAGUGUAGAGGUGAAAUUCGUAGAUAUUCGGAGGAACACCAGUGGCGAAGGCGGCUCACUGGUCCGGUACUGACGCUGAGGUGCGAAAGCGUGGGGAGCAAACAGG
rnacentral:rRNA from 1 species